GAUGAACGCUGGCGGCGUGCCUAAUACAUGCCAGUCGAGCGAACGGACGAGAAGCUUGCUUUUCUGAUGUUAGCGGCGGACGGGUGAGUAACACGUGGAUAACCUACCUAUAAGACUGGGAUAACUUCGGGAAACCGGAGCUAAUACCGGAUAAUAUUUUGAACCGCAUGGUUCAAAAGUGAAAGACGGUCUUGCUGUCACUUAUAGAUGGAUCCGCGCUGCAUUAGCUAGUUGGUAAGGUAACGGCUUACCAAGGCAACGAUGCAUAGCCGACCUGAGAGGGUGAUCGGCCACACUGGAACUGAGACACGGUCCAGACUCCUACGGGAGGCAGCAGUAGGGAAUCUUCCGCAAUGGGCGAAAGCCUGACGGAGCAACGCCGCGUGAGUGAUGAAGGUCUUCGGAUCGUAAAACUCUGUUAUUAGGGAAGAACAUAUGUGUAAGUAACUGUGCACAUCUUGACGGUACCUAAGCAGAAAGCCACGGCUAACUACGG
rnacentral:rRNA from 1 species